rnacentral:rRNA from 1 species
CCUACGGGUGGCAGCAGUGAGGAAUAUUGGUCAAUGGACGAGAGUCUGAACCAGCCAAGUAGCGUGAAGGAUGACUGCCCUAUGGGUUGUAAACUUCUUUUAUAUGGGAAUAAAAUGUUCCACGUGUGGGAUUUUGUAUGUACCAUAUGAAUAAGGAUCGGCUAACUCCGUGCCAGCAGCCGCGGUAAUACGGAGGAUCCGAGCGUUAUCCGGAUUUAUUGGGUUUAAAGGGAGCGUAGGUGGAUUGUUAAGUCAGUUGUGAAAGUUUGCGGCUCAACCGUAAAAUUGCAGUUGAAACUGGCAGUCUUGAGUACAGUAGAGGUGGGCGGAAUUCGUGGUGUAGCGGUGAAAUGCUUAGAUAUCACGAAGAACUUCGAUUGCGAAGGCAGUUCACUGGACUGCAACUGACACUGAGGCUCGAAAGUGUGGGUAUCAAACAGGAUUAGAUACCCUUGUAGUC